rnacentral:rRNA from 1 species
GAUGAACGCUAGCGGCAGGCUUAACACAUGCAAGUCGAGGGGCAACACGGGUAGCAAUACCUGGUGGCGACCGGCGCAAGGGUGCGUAACGCGUGAGCAACAUGCCCUAUACAGGGGGAUAAUCCAGGGAAACUUGGUCUAAUAUCCCAUAGCAUUUAGAGGAGGCAUCUUCACUAAAUUAAAGCUUCGGUGGUAUAGGAUUGGCUCGCGUGACAUUAGCUAGAUGGUGAGGUAACGGCCCACCAUGGCUAUGAUGUCUAGGGGUUCUGAGAGGAAGACCCCCCCACACUGGGACUGAGACACGGCCCAGACUCCUACGGGAGGCAGCAGUGAGGAAUAUUGGACAAUGGAUGGAAAUCUGAUCCAGCCAUGCCGCGUGCAGGAAGACGGCCCUAUGGGUUGUAAACUGCGUUUUAUAUGGGAGCAAUAAGGUUUACGAGUAGACCGAUGAGAGUACCAUAUGAAUAAGCAUCGGCUAACUCCGUCG